rnacentral:rRNA from 1 species
GACGAACGCUGGCGGCGCGCCUAACACAUGCGAGUCGAACGAGCGAGCGAGAGCUUGCUUUCUUGAGCGAGUGGCGAACGGGUGAGUAACGCGUGAGGAACCUGCCUCAAAGAGGGGGACAACAGUUGGAAACGACUGCUAAUACCGCAUAAGCCCACGACCCGGCAUCGGGUUGAGGGAAAAGGAGCAAUCCGCUUUGAGAUGGCCUCGCGUCCGAUUAGCUAGUUGGUGAGGUAACGGCCCACCAAGGCGACGAUCGGUAGCCGGACUGAGAGGUUGAACGGCCACAUUGGGACUGAGACACGGCCCAGACUCCUACGGGAGGCAGCAGUGGGGAAUAUUGCACAAUGGGGGAAACCCUGAUGCAGCGACGCCGCGUGGAGGAAGAAGGUCUUCGGAUUGUAAACUCCUGUUGUUGAGGAAGAUAAUGACGGUACUCAACAAGGAAGUGACGGCUAACUACGUG